UAGGGAAUCUUCCACAAUGGGCGAAAGCCUGAUGGAGCAACGCCGCGUGAGUGAUGAAGGUUUUCGGAUCGUAAAACUCUGUUGUUAGGGAAGAACACCCGAGAGAGGAUCUCGGACUGACGGUACCUAACGAGAAAGCCCCGGCUAACUACGUGCCAGCAGCCGCGGUAAUACGUAGGGGGCAAGCGUUGUCCGGAUUUACUGGGUGUAAAGGGUGCUCAGGCGGAUUUGUAAGUCAGAGGUGAAAUCUUACAGCUUAACUGUGAAACUGCCUUUGAUACUGCAAGCCUAGAGUAUGGAAGAGAGUGAUGGAAUAUCUGGUGUAGCAGUGAAAUGCGUAGAUAUCAGAUAGAACACCAAUGGCGAAGGCAGUCACUUGGUCCAUUACUGACGCUAAAGCACGAAAGCGUGGGUAGCAAAC
rnacentral:rRNA from 1 species